UGGGGAAUUUUGGACAAUGGGGGGAAACCCUGAUCCAGCCAUCCCGCGUGUGCGAUGAAGGCCUUCGGGUUGUAAAGCACUUUUGGCAGGAAAGAAACGUCGCGGGUUAAUACCCCGCGGAACUGACGGUACCUGCAGAAUAAGCACCGGCUAACUACGUGCCAGCAGCCGCGGUAAUACGUAGGGUGCAAGCGUUAAUCGGAAUUACUGGGCGUAAAGCGUGCGCAGGUGGUUCGGAAAGAAAGAUGUGAAAUCCCAGAGCUUAACUUUGGAACUGCAUUUUUAACUACCGGGCUAGAGUGUGUCAGAGGGAGGUGGAAUUCCGCGUGUAGCAGUGAAAUGCGUAGAUAUGCGGAGGAACACCGAUGGCGAAGGCAGCCUCCUGGGAUAACACUGACGCUCAUGCACGAAAGCGUGGGGAGCAAACAGGAUUAGAUACCCUGGUAGUCCACGCCCUAAACGAUGUCAACUAGCUGUUGGGGUCUUCGGACCUUGGUAGCGCAGCUAACGCGUGAAGUUGACCGCCUGGGGAGUACGGUCGCAAGAUU
rnacentral:rRNA from 1 species